rnacentral:tRNA from 2 species
GGGUCAGUGCCCGAGCGGCCAAAGGGAACGGGCUGUAAACCCGUCGUGAUUUCACUUCGGAGGUUCAAAUCCUCCCUGGCCCA